CUCUGUUUUCUUUUUAUCAUAAACCCCCCUCCUUCAUCACCUUGCCUACCCGCUAAACCUAUUCGACCCAUCAACGAACAGAUCCACCCUCACCAGCCGCCUGACGUUCGAGCCGCACCAGCCCUAAACCCUUCCACCUCCAGCCGCCAUAACUGUAAUCCCUUCCACCAUCAGCUGCCCCUCCGUUCGAGCCGUCGACGCCCUAAUCCUAUCACCUUCUGGCCGCCCAAAUCCCUUUCGGCUCCUGCCGCCCUCUGUUUGAGGCGCAGGCCAUGGAGUCGUCGGUCUUCGAGUGCCAGGCCAUGGAGUUGUCGAUCUUCGAGUGCCAGGCCAUGGCGGCACAGACCAUGGAGUCACAGGCUAUGAUGGCGCAGGUCUUAGUCUUUAGGCCAUGGAGUCGCAAUCAGGCGUUCAAGAUGCUCUGAGACUUGAGUCAGGUUUUUCCAACAUGCAUGAUGGAUUCAGUACACCAAAAAAAUGAAUAUCCUUCUGACAUCAGAAUGAUAUAUGUGUUCUCUGUCCACUGAUGCGGCUGGAGCGUCAUGUCAACGGCUCACCCUCCCCCUAACAAAUUAAACUAGACUGAUGAGUGGAGCUUCAUGUUGGGAUGAUCCAUGCACCUUUUAAGUUUUGGAACGUCGUACUCAAAUGUAGCUUGUGUUAGUUGAACCUAUCGUACUUUCUUUUGGAAUUAAAUUAUAUGAUAUUUAAACAUGUUUGAUGUUUAAUACUUGUGUUGGAUGCUUUAUGCUUCAAAUAUAUAUGCAUUAUACAAAAAGUUGUGUA